GAUACAAGAAACACCUGAUUUAUUAAUACACAGAGGCUUUGGACAAUUCGAUGUCAAAAUAUAUUUUGGAGCGAGCCGCACGGAAAUCUAUUGUGCCGCGAGAAAAAUGUAAGAUGUAGCCCUUUAUAUUCGCGCAAAACAUUUCUGGAAUAUUCUGCAACAAUUUUUCUGCCCGCUUUUAACAACAACGAAUGAAGAACACACUUGACUGCAGCCACCGACAGUUUUAUGGGAGAAUAAUGUUUCACGGCAAUAAGUAAGUACGGAUGCUAUAUCCGUGCGGGACCUAACAGCGAAGGAUUUUUUUAUAAACAAGGCAAUGGAUUGAUCCAGUUGUUAAGUGAAUACAAGAGAAAAAGUGUGACUGUAGAACAAUUACGUUGAACAUAAAUAUAGAAAAGUAUUUUCGAUAAAUAUUUAAUAUUAAGAAAUAGACACAGGCUGCGCAGUCGUUUUGUAUUUCUCUACGGAGUGGUCAAUUAGAUAGGAGAAUUGCUAAGUUCAUCCUCUUCGUCGCUCAUAAAAAUAUUAAAUAAAUUACCAAGGAAUAUAAAAUGUUUCUGUUAUACGUCACUUCU